GCCAGUGUGGCUCAGUGGAUAGAGCGUCAGCCUGUGGACUGAAGGGUCCCGGGUUCGAUUCCGGUCAAGGGCA
rnacentral:tRNA from 1 species